rnacentral:rRNA from 1 species
CGGCGGCCGUAACUAUAACGGUCCUAAGGUAGCGAAAUUCCUUGUCGGGUAAGUUCCGACCCGCACGAAAGGCGUAACGAUUUGGGCACUGUCUCAACAACAGACUCGGUGAAAUUGUAAUCCCGGUGAAGAUGCCGGGUACCUGCGACAGGACGGAAAGACCCCAUGGAGCUUUACUGUAGCUUGACAUUGAAUUUUGGUGCUACAUGUACAGGAUAGGUGGGAGGCUAUGAAGUCGGGACGCCAGUCUCGGCGGAGCCAUCCUUGGGAUACCACCCUUGUAGUACUGAGAUUCUAACCAGAUACCUUGAAUCAGGUAUUGGGACACUGUCAGGUGGGCAGUUUGACUGGGGCGGUCGCCUCCCAAAGAGUAACGGAGGCGCUCAAAGGUUCUCUCAGCACGGUCGGAAAUCGUGCGUAGAGUGUAAAGGCAGAAGAGAGCUUGAUUGCAAGACAUACAGGUCGAGCAAGGACGAAAGUCGGACUUAGUGAUCCGGUGGUUCCGCAUGGAAGGGCCAUCGCUCAACGGAUAAAAGCUACCCUGGGGAUAACAGGCUUAUCUCCCCCAAGAGUCCACAUCGACGGGGAGGUUUGGCACCUCGAUGUCGGCUCAUCACAUCCUGGGGCUGUAGUAGGUCCCAAGGGUUGGGCUGUUCGCCCAUUAAAGUGGUACGCGAGCUGGGUUCAGAACGUCGUGAGACAGUUCGGUCCCUAUCCGUCGCAGGCGUAGGAAAUUUGAGGAGACCUGUCCUUAGUACGAGAGGACCGGGAUGGACGUACCUCUGGUGUACCAGUUGUUCUGCCAAGGGCAUGGCUGGGUAGCUAUGUACGGAAUGGAUAAGCGCUGAAAGCAUCUAAGCGCGAAGCCAACUUCAAGAUAAGAUUUCCCACCGUAAGGGUAAGAUCCCAGGAAGACUACCUGGUUGAUAGGUCAAAGGUGUAAGUGCAGCAAUGCAUGUAGCUUAUUGAUACUAAUAGAUCGAGGACUUGACCAAG